UCCAGUGUAGCACAGCGGUAAGGUGCAGGGCCCAUAACCAAAAGGUAGCUGGAUCGAUUCCCCACUGGAG